GUUCUCCUGAUCACUUCAUUG
rnacentral:miRNA from 1 species